UAAAGAUAAAAAGUCAACCUGUUUCCUCCACUUAACAGGCCCCUGACUUGAAAGGAAAAUAGAGGAGCAAUUGAAUGUGUGUAUGUGUAUACUUUACUUGCUCCCUGAGUCCUUGGACCACAGCAUUCCUCAUUACCGCAGGUGAUUAAUGGCAUCAGCAUCCUGGCACCUUGGACUACAAUUUGUUCAAAGUCAGGAGAAUUUGGAAGUAAGAGAAUGGUAGUACGUGUGGCGCUAGAUGGAGUAGGGCAAGAAAGGUAGAACAUGACUUGUGGAAAUACAUGGUAAAAAACAGAGCCGUAAUAACUAAUGUUUCCCCUUCUCUGUUGUAGACCCCAUCUAGGCUCUGGUGUAGUCUUCCCCUUCUCUUUAGGUAGUUACGAUGGUUAGUGACGAUUACGCCAAAGAUUUACCUCACAUUCUUUUCAACCACCGAUGAAAAAAGAAGGCAACUAUAAAGACUUCAACAGGCAGUGGCUGAGUAAUGCAUCGCCCUGAAACCGGUAAGGCAGCGGGCUAAAGAAGUUUCAAGGAAGUUAAGUCCGAAGUCUUGCAAGGAAGACAGCUAUCAGGAAUUUAUGGUCCCUAAGAGGCAAGAUUAUACUAUCUCUUACAUCUUAAGAAUUAUUAGACAUAAGAAGUGUGUUAAUUCUUCUGUGUCUAAAUGAACAACAUGCAGUAAGUACAUGUGAUAAUCGCUUUUUAAUAGAAUAUAAUAUUCUAGUGAAAUGUUCUUAUACACAGAGCUUACCUACCUA
rnacentral:lncRNA from 1 species